AUCAGAUCAUUCGAAUGUUGCCUUCAUCUCAGAGAUUGGGCGUGCUGCAUAAUCUUUUAAAGGACAGGGCAUGCCCCAUUUUGACAGGAUAUCUUCUAGAUCUGGUGAAGGAUCAGAUUGAGAGAGAGAUUGAUGAAGGUGUUAUGUUCAACAGAUAGCAAGAUUCAGAGGCAUUGCCACCUUGUUUUGAGGACUUCAUAUCUUUUCUGCAUACAAAUUUGGGACCCCUUGCUGAUGAUAUAGAUUCCUUGGAAAAGAUGUUGGACCGUCUGAGUUUGCUUAAAUUUCUCCUGAUUAGAGGAUCAAAAAUGUUGCCAAAGCCAACAUUGAGAAGAUGUCUUCUUGGUUUGCUAUACCCACUGGGGUACUACCUUGCCGCAAGGAGCAAUGAUGUAUACCAGGUGGCUUUUGCUCGCACGGAAGUGGACGGGUGUGUAAAACUAGCAGAUAAGUUGUGCGAAACGGACGGACCCAACGGCGAAAUAGUCUGAUGACGAGCUAGUAUCGAUGUCACAGUAGACCACACUAAUUUUUCUGUAUAGAGCCAUUAGUAUUCUUUAGCAUGUCCAUACUAUUACAUCAUAUGGAGUACAAAGGAGUAGGCAAACAAAACUGGUGGUGGCGUUGCUGGUGCAUUGAACUGUGGGACAAACUAUUAUGUCAGUAGCUUUCCUUUAGCUAUGGUCAUACAUCAUAUUUCGUACAAGUAGGCAAACAAACUGGUGGGGUUGCGGCUGGUGCAUCGAACUGGGGGACAAACCAGCACGCACAGCCAAACUGUUCUUUAGCUAUGUUUGUUAACCUGUAUUAGCGUUAAUGUGUGCCUACAUUUUUACC